GCCAGAGGCGGCUGUGCCUGGUGGCUGCAGUUAGGCAGCUGGAGGGUUCCUGAACAGCGGCCCAGCCGGGCCCCCUGCCAGCGAGGGUGGAAAACAAGCAGAGGGCGCCCUGCCUGUCACCCCCAGGGCCCCGGGGGCCUGGCCAAGCCAGGAAAGGAGACGGAGAUGGUGAAAGAAACAGAGACUGAGACAGAGAGAUGAAAAACAAGAGAGACGGUUGGGGCGUUCUUGGAAAAAUGUGGUUAGGAGGUGAAGAAGAGCCAGCCACAGAGAAGAAGAGCCUUUCAGCAGAGGGAACCACAUGUGCAAAGGUCCUGAGCUCCAGAAGAAUGACGACCUCCAUGCCAACAAAUCCGUGCACACGCGUGCCCAAAGCAGCCCUGUUCGCCGUUGCCCAAAUGUCUAUCGAGGGGUGAAGGGAGAAUCCAAAUGUAGUCCAUCCACGCUAAAGAAUAUUAUUUGGCCACAAAAAGUUACGAAACGUUGACACACGCUGCCACGUGGGUGAAAACGUGGACGAAA